UGGGGUGAUGGCUUACCAAGGCGACGACGGGUAGCCGGCCUGAGAGGGCGUCCGGCCACACUGGGACUGAGACACGGCCCAGACUCCUACGGGAGGCAGCAGUGGGGAAUAUUGCGCAAUGGGCGGAAGCCUGACGCAGCGACGCCGCGUGGGGGAUGACGGCCUUCGGGUUGUAAACCUCUUUCGACCUUGACGAAGCCUCUUUUGGGGGGCGACGGUAGGGGUAGAAGAAGCACCGGCCAACUACGUGCCAGCAGCCGCGGUAACACGUAGGGUGCGAGCGUUGUCCGGAAUUAUUGGGCGUAAAGAGCUCGUAGGCGGUGUGUCGCGUCGGCCGUGAAAACCUGCAGCUUAACUGUGGGCUUGCGGUCGAUACGGGCAUCACUGGAGUUCGGCAGGGGAGACUGGAAUUCCUGGUGUAGCGGUGAAAUGCGCAGAUAUCAGGAGGAACACCGGUGGCGAAGGCGGGUCUCUGGGCCGAUACUGACGCUGAGGAGCGAAAGCGUGGGGAGCGAACAGGAUUAGAUACCCUGGUAGUCCACGCCGUAAACGUUGGGCGCUAGGUGUGGGGGCCAUUCCACGGUCUCUGUGCCGUAGCUAACGCAUUAAGCGCCCCGCCUGGGGAGUACGGCCGCAAGGCUAAAACUCAAAGGAAUUGACG
rnacentral:rRNA from 1 species